UACGUAGGGGGCAAGCGUUGUCCGGAAUUAUUGGGCGUAAAGCGCGCGCAGGCGGUAUUGUAAGUCUGUCGUUUAAGUUCGGGGCUCAACCCCGUAUCGCGAUGGAAACUGCAAGACUUGAGUGCAGAAGAGGAAAGUGGAAUUCCACGUGUAGCGGUGAAAUGCGUAGAUAUCUGGAGGAACACCGGUGGCGAAGGCGGCAUCCUGGACCAACACUGACACUGAUGAGCGAAAGCCAGGGGAGCAAACGGG
rnacentral:rRNA from 1 species